rnacentral:rRNA from 1 species
GGCGGCGUGCCUAAUACAUGCAAGUGGGACGCAAGGAAACACACUGUGCUUGCACACCGUGUUUUCUUGAGUCGCGAACGGGUGAGUAACGCGUAGGUAACCUGCCUAUUAGCGGGGGAUAACUAUUGGAAACGAUAGCUAAUACCGCAUAAUAUUAAUUAUUGCAUGAUAAUUGAUUGAAAGAUGCAAGCGCAUCACUAGUAGAUGGACCUGCGUUGUAUUAGCUAGUUGGUAAGGUAAGAGCUUACCAAGGCGACGAUACAUAGCCGACCUGAGAGGGUGAUCGGCCACACUGGGACUGAGACACGGCCCAGACUCCUACGGGAGGCAGCAGUAGGGAAUCUUCGGCAAUGGACGAAAGUCUGACCGAGCAACGCCGCGUGAGUGAAGAAGGUUUUCGGAUCGUAAAGCUCUGUUGUAAGUCAAGAACGUGUGUGAGAGUGGAAAGUCACACAGG